rnacentral:rRNA from 1 species
UACGGAAUGUGCAAACGUUAAUCGGAAUUACUGGGCGUAAAGCGUGCGCAGGCGGCUUUGCAAGACAGAUGUGAAAUCCCCGGGCUUAACCUGGGAACUGCAUUUGUGACUGCAUGGCUUGAGUGCGGCAGAGGGGGAUGGAAUUCCGCGUGUAGCAGUGAAAUGCGUAGAUAUGCGGAGGAACACCGAUGGCGAAGGCAAUCCCCUGGGCCUGCACUGACGCUCAUGCACGAAAGCGUGGGGAGCAAACGGG